GCGCCGUUAGCUCAGUCCGGUAGAGCAGGUGGCUCUUAACCACUUGGUCGAGGGUUCAAAUCCCCCACGGCGCACCA
rnacentral:tRNA from 3 species